UGCUCUCGGGUGACGAGCGGCGGACGGGUGAGUAAUGUCUGGGAAACUGCCUGAUGGAGGGGGAUAACUACUGGAAACGGUAGCUAAUACCGCAUAACGUCGCAAGACCAAAGUGGGGGACCUUCGGGCCUCAUGCCAUCAGAUGUGCCCAGAUGGGAUUAGCUAGUAGGUGGGGUAAUGGCUCACCUAGGCGACGAUCCCUAGCUGGUCUGAGAGGAUGACCAGCCACACUGGAACUGAGACACGGUCCAGACUCCUACGGGAGGCAGCAGUGGGGAAUAUUGCACAAUGGGCGCAAGCCUGAUGCAGCCAUGCCGCGUGUGUGAAGAAGGCCUUCGGGUUGUAAAGCACUUUCAGCGGGGAGGAAGGCGUUAAGGUUAAUAACCUUGGCGAUUGACGUUACCCGCAGAAGAAGCACCGGCUAACUCCGUGCCAGCAGCCGCGGUAAUACGGAGGGUGCAAGCGUUAAUCGGAAUUACUGGGCGUAAAGCGCACGCAGGCGGUCUGUCAAGUCGGAUGUGAAAUCCCCGGGCUCAACCUGGGAACUGCAUUCGAAACUGGCAGGCUAGAGUCUUGUAGAGGGGGGUAGAAUUCCAGGUGUAGCGGUGAAAUGCGUAGAGAUCUGGAGGAAUACCGGUGGCGAAGGCGGCCCCCUGGACAAAGACUGACGCUCAGGUGCGAAAGCGUGGGGAGCAAACAGGAUUAGAUACCCUGGUAGUCCACGCCGUAAACGAUGUCGAUUUGGAGGUUGUGCCCUUGAGGCGUGGCUUCCGGAGCUAACGCGUUAAAUCGACCGCCUGGGGAGUACGGCCGCAAGGUUAAAACUCAAAUGAAUUGACGGGGGCCCGCACAAGCGGUGGAGCAUGUGGUUUAAUUCGAUGCAACGCGAAGAACCUUACCUGGUCUUGACAUCCACAGAACUUUCCAGAGAUGGAUUGGUGCCUUCGGGAACUGUGAGACAGGUGCUGCAUGGCUGUCGUCAGCUCGUGUUGUGAAAUGUUGGGUUAAGUCCCGCAACGAGCGCAACCCUUAUCCUUUGUUGCCAGCGGUUAGGCCGGGAACUCAAAGGAGACUGCCAGUGAUAAACUGGAGGAAGGUGGGGAUGACGUCAAGUCAUCAUGGCCCUUACGACCAGGGCUACACACGUGCUACAAUGGCAUAUACAAAGAGAAGCGACCUCGCGAGAGCAAGCGGACCUCAUAAAGUAUGUCGUAGUCCGGAUUGGAGUCUGCAACUCGACUCCAUGAAGUCGGAAUCGCUAGUAAUCGUAGAUCAGAAUGCUACGGUGAAUACGUUCCCGGGCCUUGUACACACCGCCCGUCACACCAUGGGAGUGGGUUGCAAAAGAAGUAGGUAGCUUAACCUUCGGGAGGGCGCUUACCACUUUGUGAUUCAUGACUGGGGUGAAGUCGUAACAAGGUAACCGUAGGGGAACCUGCGGUUG
rnacentral:rRNA from 1 species